GCUAGAGUGGCUCAGUUGGUAGAGCAGCUGAUUCGUAAUCAGCAGGCCGUGGGUUCGAGUCCCAUCUCUAGCUCCA
rnacentral:tRNA from 2 species